GCAGUACGUAAGUAGUCGAUGAGGUGCAGUGCCCAAGAAGCCAUGUUAACCAAUCAGGAGAAGGCACAGUGUGUCCUGAGGUACCAUGAGACACGAUCACCAACCACAGUGCAGAGACACUUCCAGACAACAUUUGGAAGGAAUCCACAUAAUGUCAAAGGCAUUAAGCAGUGGUAUCAUCCAAAGAAUGCUGUGCCACCCCAAAGUUGGCAACUCGAAUCGAUACCACAGACAUUACCGAGGGCUUGCUGCAAUCUGCAACGUCAUAUUGAAGGCGUUCCUGAAGACACGGUAGUGCCGUCGCACUGAUGUCAACAUAGUGCUGAGCAUGUAAGUGCUCAGCCCACCAGUUCGAGACCUCAGCUACAGCAAUUAUUGUCGUAGUAUAGGACCAGUGAGUUGUUAAACUGUCAGAUGAACGAGCAGUGUUGUUAAAGAUGAACACUGUACCUCAAGAAAACAGUCUGCUCAUUAGUGGAUCAAGAAAUACUUUGCAGUUGUGUAUUAUCCAAUAAACCCGUGGCAGAGAAGAGAUAAA